rnacentral:rRNA from 1 species
UACGUAGGGUGCAAGCGUUAAUCGGAAUUACUGGGCGUAAAGCGUGCGCAGGCGGUUCGGAAAGAAAGAUGUGAAAUCCCAGAGCUCAACUUUGGAACUGCAUUUUUAACUACCGGACUAGAGUGUGUCAGAGGGGGGUGGAAUUCCGCGUGUAGCAGUGAAAUGCGUAGAGAUGCGGAGGAACACCGAUGGCGAAGGCAGCCCCCUGGGAUAACACUGACGCUCAUGUACGAAAGCGUGGGUAGCAAAC